rnacentral:miRNA from 1 species
UGUCUAAAUAGAAUGGAUGGUGUA